rnacentral:rRNA from 1 species
GCAAGUCGAACGAAGGCCCUAGCUUGCUAGGUGUCCUUAGUGGCGGACGGGUGAGUAACGCGUGGGAACCUGCCCUAGAGUGCGGAACAACAGUUGGAAACGACUGCUAAUACCGCAUAAUCCCUACGGGGGAAAGGCUUCGGCCGCUCUUGGAUGGUCCCGCGUCUGAUUAGCUAGUUGGUAGGGUAAUGGCUUACCAAGGCGACGAUCAGUAGCUGGUUUGAGAGGAUGAUC